AUUGAACGCUGGCGGCAGGCCUAACACAUGCAAGUCGAACGAGUGGCGGACGGGUGAGUAAUGUCUGGGAACCUGCCUGAUGGCGGGGGAUAACUACUGGAAACGGUCGCUACUACCGCAUACCAGCGGAUGAGCCCAGAUGGGAUUAGCGAGUUGGUGGGGUAACGGCUCACCUAGGCGACGAUCCCUAGCUGGUCUGAGAGGAUGACCAGCCACACUGUAACUGAGACACGGUCCAGACUCCUACGGGAGGCAGCAGUGGGGAAUAUUGCACAAUGGGCGCAAGCCUGAUGCAGCCAUGCCGCGUGUAUGAAGAAGGCCUUCGGGUUGUAAAGUACUUUCAGCGGGGAGGCGUUACCCGCAGAAGAAGCACCGGCUAACUCCGUGCCAGCAGCCGCGGUAAUUC
rnacentral:rRNA from 1 species